rnacentral:rRNA from 1 species
GAUGAACGCUGACAGAAUGCUUAACACAUGCAAGUCAACUUGAACUUCGGUUUGGGUGGCGGACGGGUGAGUAACGCGUAAAGAACUUGCCUCACAGUUAGGGACAACAUUUGGAAACGAAUGCUAAUACCUGAUAUUAUGAUUUUAGGGCAUCCUAGAAUUAUGAAAGCUAUAUGCGCUGUGAGAGGGCUUUGCGUCCCAUUAGCUAGUUGGAGAGGUAACGGCUCACCAAGGCGAUGAUGGGUAGCCGGCCUGAGAGGGUGAACGGCCACAAGGGGACUGAGACACGGCCCUUACUCCUACGGGAGGCAGCAGUGGGGAAUAUUGGACAAUGGACCAAGAGUCUGAUCCAGCAAUUCUGUGUGAACGAUGAAGUUUUUCGGAAUGUAAAGUGCUUUCAGUUGGGAAGAAAAAAAUGACGGUACCAACAGAAGAAGUGACGGCUAAAUACGUG